GAUUAAUACCGCAUACGAUCUACGGAUGAAAGCGGGGGACCUUCGGGCCUCGCGCUAUAGGGUUGGCCGAUGGCUGAUUAGCUAGUUGGUGGGGUAAAGGCCUACCAAGGCGACGAUCAGUAGCUGGUCUGAGAGGACGACCAGCCACACUGGGACUGAGACACGGCCCAGACUCCUACGGGAGGCAGCAGUGGGGAAUUUUGGACAAUGGGCGAAAGCCUGAUCCAGCAAUGCCGCGUGUGUGAAGAAGGCCUUCGGGUUGUAAAGCACUUUUGUCCGGAAAGAAAUCCUUGGUUCUAAUAUAACCGGGGGAUGACGGUACCGGAAGAAUAAGCACCGGCUAACUACGUGCCAGCAGCCGCGGUAAUACGUAGGGUGCGAGCGUUAAUCGGAAUUACUGGGCGUAAAGCGUGCGCAGGCGGUUUGUUAAGACCGAUGUGAAAUCCCCGGGCUCAACCUGGGAACUGCAUUGGUGACUGGCAAGCUAGAGUAUGGCAGAGGGGGGUAGAAUUCCACGUGUAGCAGUGAAAUGCGUAGAGAUGUGGAGGAAUACCGAUGGCGAAGGCAGCCCCCUGGGCCAA
rnacentral:rRNA from 1 species